rnacentral:rRNA from 1 species
UACGGAGGGGGCAAGCGUUAUUCGGAAUUAUUGGGCGUAAAGGGCGCGUAGGCGGCUAGAUGUGUCAAAGGUGAAAUCCCUCGGCUCAACUGAGGAACUGCCUUUGAAACUGUCUGGCUUGAGGCCGGGAGAGGGUAGCGGAAUUCCCAGUGUAGCGGUGAAAUGCGUAGAUAUUGGGGGGAACACCAGUGGCGAAGGCGGCUACCUGGACCGGUUCUGACGCUGAGGCGCGAAAGCGUGGGUAGCAAACAGG